rnacentral:lncRNA from 1 species
CGGGGGUCAUAACCACAAAUUUUUCUCCAGAUUUGGGAACAAUGACAAGGUUUAGAGUAAGAAAUCCAAGAGCCGAUGAAAGCAUAUUUAGCAGAAGAGACUCUGGUACACAAUGAGUGAGGAUGCAAGACAAGUUGAGUAGCUAACUUAUACAAUUGAGCUUUCUGAAUGCUGUAAAUAGAUUUUAUACCCAAGCCGCCUUG